rnacentral:rRNA from 1 species
AUUGAACGCUGGCGGCAUGCCUUACACAUGCAAGUCGAACGGCAGCACGGAGCUUGCUCUGGUGGCGAGUGGCGAACGGGUGAGUAAUAUAUCGGAACGUACCCAGGAGUGGGGGAUAACGUAGCGAAAGUUACGCUAAUACCGCAUACGUCCUAAGGGAGAAAGUGGGGGAUCGCAAGACCUCAUGCUCAUGGAGCGGCCGAUAUCUGAUUAGCUAGUUGGUGAGGUAAAGGCUCACCAAGGCAACGAUCAGUAGCUGGUCUGAGAGGA